CGCGUGAGUGAAGACGGCCUUCGGGUUGUAAAGCUCUGUUAUACGGGACGAAUAAUCUUGUGGUUAAUACCCAUAAGAAGUGACGGUACCGUAAGAGAAAGCCACGGCUAACUACGUGCCAGCAGCCGCGGUAAUACGUAGGUGGCAAGCGUUGUCCGGAAUUAUUGGGCGUAAAGGGCGCGCAGGCGGCUUCUUAAGUCUGUCUUAAAAGUGCGAGGCUUAACCCCGUGAUGGGAUGGAAACUGGGAAGCUCAGAGUAUCGGAGAGGAAAGCGGAAUUCCUAGUGUAGCGGUGAAAUGCGUAGAUAUUAGGAGGAACACCAGUGGCGAAAGCGGCUUUCUGGACGAAAACUGACGCUGAGGCGCGAAAGCCAGGGGAGCGAACGGGAUUAGAUACCCCGGUAGUCCUGGCCGUAAACGAUGGGUACUAGGUGUAGGAGGUAUCGACCCCUUCUGUGCCGGAUUAACGCAAUA
rnacentral:rRNA from 1 species